GUGCCAGCAGCCGCGGUAAUACGUAGGGUGCGAGCGUUGUCCGGAAUUACUGGGCGUAAAGAGCUCGUAGGUGGUUUGUCGCGUCGUUUGUGGAAUACCGCAGCUUAACUGCGGGGUUGCAGGCGAUACGGGCAUAACUUGAGUGCUGUAGGGGAGACUGGAAUUCCUGGUGUAGCGGUGGAAUGCGCAGAUAUCAGGAGGAACACCGAUGGCGAAGGCAGGUCUCUGGGCAGUAACUGACGCUGAGGAGCGAAAGCAUGGGGAGCGAACAGGAUUAGAUACCCUGGUAGUCCAUGCCGUAAACGAUGGGCGCUAGGUGUGAGUCCCUUCCACGGGGUUCGUGCCGUAGCUAACGCAUUAAGCGCCCCGCCUGGGGAGUACGGCCGCAAGGCUAAAACUCAAAGGAAUUGACGGGGGCCCGCACAAGCGGCGGAGCAUGUGGAUUAAUUCGAUGCAACGCGAAGAACCUUACCUGGGCUUGACAUACACUGGAUCGGGCUAGAGAUAGUCUUUCCCUUUGUGGCUGGUGUACAGGUGGUGCAUGGUUGUCGUCAGCUCGUGUCGUGAGAUGUUGGGUUAAGUCCCGCAACGAGCGCAACCCUUGUCUUAUGUUGCCAGCAUUUGGUUGGGGACUCAUGAGAGACUGCCGGGGUGAACUCGGAGGAAGGUGGGGAUGACGUCAAAUCAUCAUGCCCCUUAUGUCCAGGGCUUCACACAUGCUACAAUGGUCGGUACAACGCGUGUGCGAUCCUGUGAGGGUGUGCUAAUCGCUGAAAGCCGGUCGUAGUUCGGAUUGGGGUCUGCAACUCGACCCCAUGAAGUCGGAGUCGCUAGCAAUCGCAGAUCAGCAACGCUGCGGUGAAUACGUUCCCGGGCCUUGUACACACCGCCCGUCACGUCAUGAAAGUUGGUAACACCCGAAGCCGGUGGCCCAAACUUGUUAGGGAGCCGUCGAAGGUGGGAUCGGCGAUUGGGACGAAGUCGUAACAAGGUA
rnacentral:rRNA from 1 species